GCUGGGCUGUAGCUCAGGGGUAGAGCCUCUGCCUAGAGCAUGGGAGCCCUCCUGGGUUCCAUCCCCAGCCCCAGCC
rnacentral:tRNA from 1 species